rnacentral:lncRNA from 1 species
CAGCCAUCUGGCUUCAAGCUUUCACGAAAGAUAGCUUUGGUAAUCGUAUGUUCACCUAUUCGUACUAUGGUAUGGCUGCCAUUGCUGUCAUUGUCCACAUUUAAAAUAUUGGCUUUGUAAAAUGGAUCCCAAAGAUCCAGCGGCCAAAGUAUGAAAAGAUGAAACAUUGGGUUAGGAAAAAUGGAAUUGAUUCGAAAACUACUGCAACAAUACUGCUUCAUGUUUACCUCUUUGUGAGUGUAUUGAAGGUUCCGAGGCUGCACUGAAUUGAUUCCCGUUUUCCGUCUGGCACCAUACAUUUCACAUCAUCAAGAUGAUCAGCCAUUUCCUUCAUAAUUGCAUGAAUUUCCUCUUCAAACUCCAGAAAAGACCUAUUUUGC